rnacentral:lncRNA from 1 species
CAACCGAAAAAGAGAAAAACACACACCUCCGAUGGCUACAACAACCACAAUUUGUUUGGGUCUGAUGACAUGCUAAUUCAGAGCAGCAACACUCAAUUGGGAAACAUGGACCAGUGGAUUAUCCGAGAAUAAGUACACGAUAUUGCUGCGUCCCGCAUCCGCUCAAGAGUCCCUUUGGUGUUAUUUAGACCCCUACUGUCAAUUAUUUAUCCAUGCUUACCCAACAUUCCUACGUGACACCCAAUCCAAUCUGAGACAGGAUCGACCUUAGCAAGUGGCGGUCAUC